rnacentral:rRNA from 1 species
AUUGAACGCUGGCGGCAGGCCUAACACAUGCAAGUCGAGCGAGAGGCGGACGGGUGAGUAAUGUAUGGGGACUGCCCGAUAGAGGGGGAUCACUACUGGCAACGGUGGCUAAUACCGCAUACUAUCGGAUAACCCAUAUGGGAUUAGCUAGUAGGUGGGGUAAAGGCUCACCUAGGCGACGAUCUCUAGCUGGUCUGAGAGGUUGAUCGACCACACUAGGACUGGGACACGGCCCAGAUUCCUACGGAGGCAGCAGUGGGGAAUAUUGCACAAUGGGCUCAAUCCUGAUGCAGCCAUGCCGAUUGUAUGAAGAAGGCCUUAGGGUGGUAAAGUACUUGCAGCGAGUAGGCGUUACCCGCAGAAGAAGCACCGGCUAACGCCGUGCCAGCAGCCGCGGUAAUAC